rnacentral:rRNA from 1 species
UUUCGUGCUCGAAAGAGAACCUGCACACAGGUGCUGCAUGGCUGUCGUCAGCUCGUGUCGUGAGAUGUUGGGUUAAGUCCCGCAACGAGCGCAACCCUUGCCAUCAGUUGCUACGAAAGGGCACUCUGAUGGGACUGCCGGUGACAAACCGGAGGAAGGUGGGGAUGACGUCAAGUCCUCAUGGCCCUUAUAGGUGGGGCUACACACGUCAUACAAUGGCCGGUACAAAGGGCAGCCAACCCGCGAGGGGGAGCCAAUCCCAUAAAGCCGGUCGUAGUCCGGAUCGCAGUCUGCAACUCGACUGCGUGAAGUCGGAAUCGCUAGUAAUCGUGGAUCAGCAUGUCACGAUGAAUACGUUCCCGGGUCUU